rnacentral:rRNA from 1 species
GACGAACGCUGGCGGCGUGCUUAACACAUGCAAGUCGAACGAUGAAACCUAGCUUGCUAGGUCGAUUAGUGGCGAACGGGUGAGUAACACGUGACUAACCUGCCCCUUUCUCUGGGAUAACGCUCCGAAAGGAGUGCUAAUACCGGAUACUCACACCGAGGCACAUGCCUUGGUGUGGAAAGUUUUUCGGAAAGGGAUGGAGUCGCGACCUAUCAGCUUGUUGGUGAGGUAACGGCUCGCCAAGGCGACGACGGGUAGCCGGCCUGAGAGGGCGACCGGCCACACUGGGACUGAGACACGGCCCAGACUCCUACGGGAGGCAGCAGUGGGGAAUAUUGCACAAUGGGCGCAAGCCUGAUGCAGCGACGCCGCGUGAGGGAUGAAGGUCUUCGGAUUGUAAACCUCUUUCAGUAGGGACGAAGCGAAAGUGACGGUACCUAAAGAAGAAGCACCGGCUAACUACGUGCCAGCAGCCGCGGUAA